CCGGUCAAGAUCCAACCGUAAUCAAGGCAAUUGCAGGAAUCAAUAAACACUAGGACAACACGGUAUCCUUCUGCAGCGCGAUCCAACGGAUGAAAUCUUUCAGCGCCUUGAUCGGAUGGUCCGCGACGCAUCCGACCUGAUCCCAUCUCUGCAGCAUGAUCCAACGGCAGCGCUUCACCCAGAUCGUGAUCCGACGGCCCAGAAUCACUUCCGGCUUGAUUUAUUAGAUGAAUUGGGUCCUUUAGAUGAAGAUCGGACGGCUGAAAUAAUUUUUAAGGUUUCUUGAUGGAUUUAAGUACUUUUUGAGCG
rnacentral:lncRNA from 1 species